GAAGGUCUCUAGUGCCACAUGGCUUGAAAAAAGGUGUGGGGGCUUUGGUUUUGCCUUAGUAGCCACAGAUCACCUGCACGCUAGUCCUUUCCAAGGAGGGCUCUGAAAGGUUCUGGAAUUGAUGCAAGGUCACCCAUAAACACCAUUUACAGUGUAUCCCUCUUCCACUCGGACGCUGCAUUGGAUGUCCCAUGGCAUAAGUGCUAAACACUUCUGGGGAACAGUAUUGUAUGCCAGGAAGAACACUGACAAGCAGGAUGAUUUCAGAAAAACCUGGGAGAACUUAGAUGAACCGAUGCAAAAUGAAGUGAGCAAAAUCAGAAGACUAUUGUAUACAGCAACAGCAAUAUUGUUAGAUAAACAACUGACAAUGACUUCGCCAUUCUCAGCAAUACAGUGAUCCAAAACAAUCCCACCAACUGGUGAAAUGAAACCUGAAUGAAGACCAAAACGUACUCUAUUUCACUUUCUUUUUUUUUCUUUUCUUUUGGUUCAAGAUAUCUUCCACAAAAUUAUUAAUAUGGAAAAAUAUUUUACAUGA